UGUCUUUUUGUUGAGGUUUUGUGUCUCUGUGUGGCUCUUUUCUGUCUCUUUCUUGGUGACUUUGUGUCUCUUUGUUGAGGUUUUGUGUCUUUUUGUUGAGGUUUUGUGUCUCUGUGUGGCUCUUUUCUGUCUCUUUCUUGGUGACUUUGUGUCUCUUUGUUGAGGUUUUGUGUCUUUUUGUUGAGGUUUUGUGUCUCUGUGUGGCUCUUUUCUGUCUCUUUCUUGGUGACUUUGUGUCUCUUUGUUGAGGUUUUGUGUCUUUUUGUUGAGGUUUUGUGUCUCUGUGUGGCUCUUUUCUGUCUCUUUCUUGGUGACUUUGUGUCUCUUUGUUGAGGUUUUGUGUCUUUUUGUUGAGGUUUUGUGUCUCUGUGUGGCUCUUUUCUGUCUCUUUCUUGGUGACUUUGUGUCUCUUUGUUGAGGUUUUGUGUCUUUUUGUUGAGGUUUUGUGUCUCUGUGUGGCUCUUUUCUGUCUCUUUCUUGGUGACUUUGUGUCUCUUUGUUGAGGUUUUGUGUCUUUUUGUUGAGGUUUUGUGUCUCUGUGUGGCUCUUUUCUGUCUCUUUCUUGGUGACUUUGUGUCUCUUUGUUGAGGUUUUGUGUCUUUUUGUUGAGGUUUUGUGUCUCUGUGUGGCUCUUUUCUGUCUCUUUCUUGGUGACUUUGUGUCUCUUUGUUGAGGUUUUGUGUCUUUUUGUUGAGGUUUUGUGUCUCUGUGUGGCUCUUUUCUGUCUCUUUCUUGGUGACUUUGUGUCUCUUUGUUGAGGUUUUGUGUCUUUUUGUUGAGGUUUUGUGUCUCUGUGUGGCUCUUUUCUGUCUCUUUCUUGGUGACUUUGUGUCUCUUUGUUGAGGUUUUGCGUCUUUUUGUUGAGGUUUUGUGUCUCUGUGUGGCUCUUUUCUGUCUCUUUCUUGGUGACUUUGUGUCUCUUUGUUGAGGUUUUGCGUCUUUUUGUUGAGGUUUUGUGUCUCUGUGUGGCUCUUUUCUGUCUCUUUCUUGGUGACUUUGUGUCUCUUUGUUGAGGUUUUGCGUCUUUUUGUUGAGGUUUUGUGUCUCUGUGUGGCUCUUUUCUGUCUCUUUCUUGGUGACUUUGUGUCUCUUUGUUGAGGUUUUGUGUCUUUUUGUUGAGGUUUUGUGUCUCUGUGUGGCUCUUUUCUGUCUCUUUCUUGGUGACUUUGUGUCUCUUUGUUGAGGUUUUGUGUCUUUUUGUUGAGGUUUUGUGUCUCUGUGUGGCUCUUUUCUGUCUCUUUCUUGGUGACUUUGUGUCUCUUUGUUGAGGUUUUGUGUCUUUUUGUUGAGGUUUUGUGUCUCUGUGUGGCUCUUUUCUGUCUCUUUCUUGGUGACUUUGUGUCUCUUUGUUGAGGUUUUGUGUCUUUUUGUUGAGGUUUUGUGUCUCUGUGUGGCUCUUUUCUGUCUCUUUCUUGGUGACUUUGUGUCUCUUUGUUGAGGUUUUGUGACUCAGACGGUUUUGUGUCACUUUUGUUUGUUUAAAUCUGGGUUUUAUUGUGCAGCUGAAAAGAUUUAGGAAACCAGCAGCAAAGCGUUUGUGUACCGUUCAAACAUCCAGUCCAGGAGGUGCUUUAGUUCACCAGCAGGAAGUCAUAUUUGCAGUUUGUCUCUUCCGUCUAAUUCAAACUUCCAGAGACGU